rnacentral:rRNA from 1 species
GUAGGUGGCAAGCGUUGUCCGGAAUUAUUGGGCGUAAAGCGCGCGCAGGUGGUUCUUUAAGUCUGAUGUGAAAGUCCCCGGGCUCAACCGGGGAGGGUCAUUGGAAACUGGGGAACUUGAGUGCAGGAGAGGAAAGUGGAAUUCCACGUGUAGCGGUGAAAUGCGUAGAUAUGUGGAGGAACACCAGUGGCGAAGGCGACUUUCUGGCCUGUAACUGACACUGAGGCGCGAAAGCGUGGGGAGCAAACAGGAUUAGAUACCCUGGUAGUCCACGCCGUAAACGAUGAGUGCUAAGUGUUGGGGGGUUUCCGCCCCUCAGUGCUGCAGCUAAGGCAUUAAGCACUCCGCCUGGGGAGUACGGUCGCAAAGACUG